UGCCACACGCAUAAAAUGUGUGGUAACUCCUGCCCAGUGACAAUCAGUUCAACGGCCGCGGUAUCCUAACCGUGCAAAGGUAGCAUAAUCAUUUGCUCAUUAAUUGUGGGCUAGCAUGAAAGGAUAAACGAAAUAAAAUCUGUCUCAUUUAGUAACCUAAAAAUUAUUCUCCAUAUGAAGAAAUAUGGAUACAAUCGAAGGACAAGAAGACCCUAUAGAGCUUUAUUUAAAUCAUAGAUUAUAUCUAAUGUUAAAAUUCGGUUGGGGCGACCAAGGGAAAAUAAAUCACCCUAUAUAACAAAGAUUUAUUAAUCUAGUAGCUGACCCUUAUAAGACCACAAGAUCAAGCUACCUUAGGGAUAACAGGCUAAUCUCAUUCAAGAGUUCAUAUCUACAAUGGGGUUUGGCACCUCGAUGUUGGCUUAGGUAACUAUAUGGCGCAAAAGCUAUACUAUGUUGGUUUGUUCAACCAAUAAUUUCCUA
rnacentral:rRNA from 2 species